ensembl:lncRNA
AUCUCUGGGGUUGGACUGUGGUAGGUGAUUGAGGGACUUUGAGUUCCAAUCAUAAUAAGGCUAAUGGACUUGGGACACCCAGAUGUGAAGCCCAGAGAGCUGUCAGCCCCAGUAAAAAACAGGAGUGGGGGGAAGUUGUGAGGGAGAAAAGGGGCCGUGGUCUGGGGGCAGCACAGGCAUGUGAGCUGGGGAUGUGAGAGCUAGCCUUGGGCUGGGGCCAGGAAGCUGAGGAGAAGGUCUACUUUUCACAGUUAUUUGAUCACAUGAACUUCUCACACAUGGGGUCCAGAAUCUCGGGCCCCUCUGUCACCCAGUGUGUUCCUGGUGAGGAAUCAGGAUGCUGUGGCCUGCCUGGUCAGUGACUUCUACCCCAAGGAACUCCAUGGGUCCCUGGCAUCCCUUGGGGACUUAGUCUCAGCCCAGGCCCUCACUAUGGCUCCCACAGCCCAUGGCACCUACAGUGCCAUCCAGAUUGGCAGGGUUGGUGAAAAUGACUCAGUAACCUGCUCAGUGCAGCACCUUGGGAAAGAGACCCUUGUGUCCUACCAGCCAGACACUGGGAUCACUCCUCAGCUGGAACCAUCUUGCCAUGACCAGGAACUCACAGCAGGAGAACCAGGACCUGAGCAGGGGAACCAGGUGCUCCUCAGACUGCUGGGCUUGAGAAUGUUAUUGAUGAAGACUGCGGCUAUCAACAUCCUGUUCACCACCAUGAUCUUGAUCUUUUGAUCUUCCCAUCCCAUGAAAUUAUCCCAUUAAUCCUUGUCUGUUAUCUGCUUCCUCAUAUUUCCAUCCUCUUUUUUCUCAGUCUUCUCUCUGUCCCUUCAUCUCUCCCACCCUAACCUUACAAUCUCACACCUAUUCCCCUAGGCAUUUCAUAGUCUUCUCUCUGCCUUCAUCCCCUCUGUUCCCUUAGAUUUUUCUUUAUUUUUCAAGUCUCCUCUCUUGCCUAUUAUUCUUUCUGUCUCUAUGAUUUCCCUUCUGUGGGUGGAAAUGGGGAAUGAACAGAAGAGAACAAGUUGCCUCCAGAUGAGUUUGACCUCUGACUCCCUGACUCUUGACUUGUGACCUUUGCUUCUCCAGAAGCCUGGGAAACAAAGUUGUGGGAGCCACUAUUUGGACCCUGACAUGACCAUUUGAGUUCCAGAAUGAUCCCAGUGACCCCAGUCACAUUCAUUCCCUCUUAAGAUUCAGAAGUCAAUCCUCAUUCUGUGUCCCCUGAAAUAGUCACAGUAUUCCUUUCUUUGGAGUUACAGGUAUGGAAGUGGGAGUGGGGGGCAGAUAAUCAUAACCCAAGUUCCCCAGGUUUCCAUAGUUUGGGCAGCAGCAACAGUUCCCACUACUACCUUUUUCCUAUAUGAGGCUUAUUUUGGGGGUACACACCAGGUUGCAACCUCCAGUUCAUGCUCUUGGGAUUAUGGCCAUAUGGGCUGCUUGGAGUCGGUAGGGGCUGUGUACCAUGAUAGAAAUUAGGCUGUGAAGGUUGGGGACCUGUAGGGGGGAAAAUCAGCCUCAUUGUCUUCCAAUGCCUAGCUUCUCUUAUUAUGUCCCUGGGGAGGUCGUAUCCUUCAUUCUUAUAGUUGAGGAAGGAAUCACAUGGGGGAGGAGUCUUAAUUUCCAUCAGGAUAAAUGUGGGUCAGAUGUAGGGAUGAAAUUCCUGGUGCAAGAUCUCCUUGAGUCCCUAAUGCUAUCUAUAACCUAUCCCUGUCCCCAAGGCUAUUCCUGAGGUAAGGGGCAUAAGGAUACUUUAGGACACAACUCAGAGCCUAGAUUUCCUCUGAGAUGCAGCUUAAUCUAAUUAGAGUUCUCUGUACCAUCAAAGAUCAAAUAUUAAUUUUGUGUGAACCAUGGUUUCCCUAGUAAGAGAGGAAAUGGAAGAAGGGCCCAGGGAGUACACACUUCUGGAAGGAAUCCAGGAGGCCUAAGGGGUCCAGGCAGGGAGAAACUGAGUAGGAGACAAGGACAAAUGGCCAAGAAUGGAAAUGGAUAGCACAAUCCCUCAGGCUGUAGGAGAAAAGAACAAGGCAGUGACUUGGGGUCCUGGAGUUGAACUUAACCUCAAAUGCAGACACUGUCUUGGAAGGAAAGAACAAGCAUUUAUUAAGUGAUUACUGUGUACCAGGAACCAUACCAAGCUCUGGAGAUACAAAUAUAAGAAAAAAAAAAGACAGUGCCUGCCCUCAAGGAGUUUACAUUCUAAUGGGAGAAGACAACACACAAAAGGGAGCCGAAAAGAGGGAAAAGGAAAGGAUGAAGACACUCAAGCUAUGUGCCAGGCACUCUGCUAAGCACUUUACAAAUAUUACAACCUGGGAAGUAGGUGCUAUUGUCAUCUCCAUUUUACAGAUGAGGAAACUGAGGCAAAGAAAUGUCAAGUGACUUGCCCAGGGCCACCCAGGAUCAGAGUUCAGAUUUGAACUCAGGAGUUCUUGACUCCAGCCCAUGUACUCUAUCCCCUGCACCACCUAGUGGUUCCAAGCCUUGUACUCUCUGUUUCUAGCUGGGAUCAAUAAGUCCUUCAUCCUUGUACUGCUGCUUGAGAAUGACAUCUUUAGCAUCUCAUUACAGAACCACUUGCUUUCAUAGCCAGAUUCCAAGGGUUCAGCAGUACCAGGGAAGGUCCUUGCUUAAAACAAUUGUCAGAGUUGGCAAGAUCAUGUGCAAUGGCCAGAAAGAAGGCUCAGAAAGAACGGCAGUCAGGAGGACAUGACCUGUCCUCUCCCUUUAAAGCUAAAAUGGCUCAAUAUGGCCCCUAGUAUAUGGUCACAGAAGGACUCUGGGCCCUGUGAGCUAAAUCCCAUCUUGGGAUUGGGAAGGAUGCCCCCUGAACCUGAGGACAUAGAUAGAUGGAGCCAUAAAGAUAGGAACCUACAAGGAUUAAACAGUGGAAGGGAGACUGCCCCCUGGCUGCUCUUACUGUAAUAAAGAAGCAAGAGAGGAAAUAGACUGCUUUUGC